UACGGAGGGGGCAAGCGUUGUUCGGAUUUACUGGGCGUAAAGCGUAUGUAGGCGGUUAUGCAAGUUACUUGUGAAAUCUCCGAGCUUAACCCGGACCUGCCAAGUAAUACUGUCAAACUAGAGUACAGAAGGAGCAAUUGGAAUUCUUGGUGUAGCGGUGAAAUGCGUAGAUAUCAAGAGGAACACCAGAGGCGAAGGCGAAUUGCUAGGCUGACACUGACGCUGAGAUACGAAAGCUAGGGGAGCAAACAG
rnacentral:rRNA from 1 species